rnacentral:rRNA from 1 species
GUUUCCCAGUCACGAUAAUCGAGUCAUUGUAAGUUUUUAUGCGAAUCGGGGGCUAAGGUUCCUGAUGAUGCAAACGAAUUUCUGCCCUAUCAGCUUUCAAUCGUAGUGUAGGGGACUACGAUGGCGAUAACGGGUACGGGGAAUUAGGGUUCGAUUCCGGAGAGGGCGCCUGAGAAACGGCACCCACUUCCAAGGAAGGCAGCAGGCGCGUAAAUUAUCCAAUCCCGAUUCGGGGAGAUAGUGACAAGAAAUACCGGUGUGGGGCCAUUACUGGUUCCACUAUCGGAAUGAGCACAAUUUAAAGCCAUUAGCGAGGAACAAUUGGAGGGCAAGUCUGGUGCCAGCAGCCGCGGUAAUUCCAGCUCCAAUAGUGUAUACUAAAGUUGUUGCGGUUAAAAAGCUCGUAGUUGGACUUGAGGGUUGGGUACAUCGGUUCCUUGGGGUUCGCCUUGGGGGUCAAAAUCGGGUAUUCCUUCUCUAAUUCUCGGGGUGCAAAACAGGUUCGGGUUCCGCAAGGGGCAAGUUCCUGAUCCCGCAGGGUUUACUUUGAAUAAAUUAGGGUGUUUAAAGCAGGCUUAUAGCCUUGAAUACAUUAGCAUGGGAUAAUGAAAUAUGACGUUUGGUUUAUACUUUAUUGGUUUCUAAGGCCAGCGUAAUGCUUAAUAGGGACAGUCGGGGUCGCUUGUAUCCAGUGGUUAGAGGUGAAAUUCUAUGACCCAUUGGGGACAAACAAAUGCGAAGGCAUUCGACAAGGAUGUUUUCAUUAAUCAAGAACGAAAGUUAUGGGAGCGAAGAUGAUUAGAUACCGUCGUAGUCAUAACUGUAAACUAUGUUGACUCGGGAUAUGGGGAUGUUACAUGGAUGACUCUCCACGCACCGUGUGCGAAAGCAUAAGUAUCCAAACUCCGGGGGGAGUAUGGUCGCAAGGCUGAAACUUAAAGGAAUUGACGGAAGGGCACCACCAGGAGUGGAACCUGCGGCUUAAUUUGACGCAACACGGGGAAACUCACCCAGUCCAGACACAACGAGGAUUGACAGAUUGAUAGCUCUUUCUUGAUCUUGUGGAAGCCGGUGCAUGGCCGUUUUUAGUUGGUGGAGUGAUUUGUCUGGUUUAGUCCGAUAACGAACGAGACCUCAAUCUAUUAAAUAGUAAAUCUAACAAGGGGAUUUUCGGGUCGGUCGGGUUCGCUCGGUCGGUUCGGGGGUUCCCAUCAAAUUGUCGGAAAAGUAUACUUCUUAGAGAGACUCUUGAUAUUUAAAUCAAUGGAGGAGUGAGGCAAAAACAGGUCUGUGAUGCCGCUCGAUGUCUGGGGCUGCACGCGCGUUACACUGAUGUGUACCCAACAAGUACUAAAACCAAACCCUAAGGGGUGUAGGCAAUCUCCCAAAUCACAUCGUGCUGGGGAUUGUGCCUUGAAACUAUUGCACAUUCGGAGGAAGAAGAAUGAAAGUUUAUGCAGUUUUAGGUUACAAUCAGUUCUACCCACG